UGUCUGUGUACAGAAUUUAUCAAGACUUCAGAAGCUCAACCAUUUAUUCUGUUGUAUAAACCUCCAGAGAGGGUGAAAACUACAAAAAAUCAUACAAAGAUAUAAACAUAUGAACCAAACAACUAUUCCUGACAAUGCAUUAGAUUUGUUCCACAAUUAGGACGCCAAUAAACCUAAUUGAAACUGGAUAAAAACACUUAGUAUGCUGACAUUAUGAAUACUGCAUAAAACAAUGAGCAUUUCGUGUUGUACUGCAUAAAAUACAGAUUAAUCACAGUUUCCAAAGCAAAAUGAAAUGGACAAAAGUAAAAUUGACUAAGAUAUGUAAGACAAAUUAUGACUAGGUAGGCAAAAUAUAUUGUGAAAGUAGGACAUAGCCUGCAUGAUGCGAAAUCACAAAAUUCAGCAACUAGGGAAAUGCAUGUUACCUGUAGCAGCCAAUUUUUACAUUUAAAUUUUUGCGCCAAUUUGUACUUUUUGUGUAUGCACGAGCUCGCUGCGAAGAAUGUGGGUAUUAUGUUCCUGUUUCACUGGACAUUGUACUGAACUGCCGUUUCCUAGAGAAACUACUUAUUCGUAUAUCGUAUGAAGUUGAGGAAGUCACAUGAUGCCAAUCAUUGACUUAAGAAUAAAUUUUCCAGGCAUACGCA